rnacentral:lncRNA from 1 species
AAAUCCAACAUCCUUACUUUACAGAUGAGAAAAUAAAGGCCAGAGAGAGGAAGAAAGGGACAGGGAUUGCAUAACAGGACCAUAGCGGAGAUAGGAUUCAAACUUGUUCUACUCAGGCUCAUAGCAGCACUUUCCAAUGAUAAUGCACAGGGACCAACUACAAUGACAGCAGAAGAAAAAGAAUGUAUAAUCAACAUUAUAGAAGAGAGCAGGUGAAGUUUUGGCAGUGGAAAGGAGACUUAAAUUAAUAUAAAAUAGAAGAGUGGUAAUAAACUGCAAAAUAAAGCAACAGUGUAGAGUCAGAGUUGAUGGAUACCGUGAAGCAGAUGCCCUUUUGCUUCUACAACCCAG